rnacentral:misc_RNA from 1 species
GAUGAAGAACGUAGCGAAAUGCGAUACUUGGUGUGAAUUGCAGAAUCCCGUGAACCAUCGAGUCUUUGAACGCAAGUUGCGCCCGAAGCCAUUAGGCCGGGGGCACGCCUGCCUGGGCGUCACACGUCGUUGCCCCCCCAUCUACUCCUUCGGGAUUGCGGGGGGCGGAUGAUGGCCUCCCGUGCGCCUCGCCGCGCGGUUGGCAUAAAUGCCAAGUCCUCGGCGACGCACGCCACGACAAUCGGUGGUUGCGAAACCUCGGUUGCCCGUCGUGUGCGGUCGUCGCGCAUCGAGGGCUCGAAAAAAUUGCCGGGUUCCGGCUCGGCUUUCAACGCGACCCCAGGUCAGGCGGGGUUACCCGCUGAAUUUAAGCAUAUCAAUAAGCGGAGGA